rnacentral:rRNA from 1 species
UACGUAGGUGGCAAGCGUUGUCCGGAUUUACUGGGCGUAAAGAGCGCGCAGGCGGUCGUUCAAGUCGCGUGUGAAAGCCCCCGGCUCAACUGGGGAGGGUCACGCGAUACUGAUCGACUCGAAGGCAGGAGAGGUAGUGGAAUUCCCGGUGUAGUGGUGAAAUGCGUAGAUAUCGGGAGGAACACCAGUGGCGAAGGCGACUACCUGGCCUGUUUCUUGACGCUGAGGCGCGAAAGCUAGGGGAGCAAACGGG